CAGACUGCCGCCGCCGUUCCGCCCUCGACAAAACCCAGCCCCGACCCGGCUCAGAGCGGCAACAAGGCCCUUGCCUCGCCGCCCCUCCCUCAAAACUCCAGCCGACAGCAGCAGGAGAACCACCGCCGCCGACCGCAUCUGCCUCCCUCCACUCUCGACUCAAAUCAACAGCAAACGUUCAAACAACGACAAGCACAAACAAAGCUCAAGACUCAUUCUUUCUUCU
rnacentral:lncRNA from 1 species